rnacentral:misc_RNA from 1 species
UUAAAUACCCUUCUAUUAAAACAAUAUAAUAUCAUAAAGUGUAUCAUGUGAGUAAAGUAGCGUGAAGAAGGAUCUAUUCAAUGAUUAAUUAGUUCGUAGAACUUUGAUAGUUGUCAUGGAUAUCUGAAAAGAUGAGAAAUAAUGGAAGAAGCUCCCGAACGAAUUCCUCCAUCGUUGGGAUUCACUUUAGAUAAUGAAGGCCUCCAUGAUACUGCUUCUCGCAAGGAGCCUAACAACGAAGACUGUUCCGUCAAAGAUGGUGAUGAGGAAGAGAGAGAAGGAGGGCAGACCGAAGAGGAGACGGAGAAAGAAAACUCUCUGUUAAGUUCUCCAAUUACCUCAAAUGUCCCCUAUGAUGAAAGUAACUUGGUAUUUUUCUCCCCUGACGACGACGCUAAUACUCUUUCUGCGCCUUGUUCUGCUCCUUACACUAUAACAACUACAGCAACAGGAGCAGCAAGAAAUGGUCAUAUUCGAAGUGCUAGUCACGGUGGAUCCUCCAUAUACCAUGCCACUCCUCGUCCUUCUGUAUUAAAAAAACAUGGGCAUCGGCGAGUCUUUUCUCAUGGACAAAUCACUGUAGGAUUCAAUCAAAAGGAACUAGAUGGCCAACCCAUGAAGGGACAUAAACGAACCAACUCCAAAACAGAAUUCAUUCUUCCUCCUGGUCAUGAUGAUCGGGAACGAAAGCGAACAUCUCUUACUCGUAGUGGAUCUGCUAAGCAUCACAAACGACAGGCCUCCCGUACAGACUCAUUGGGCUUUUCAUUCAAAGGACAUUCUCGUCAAGCCUCUCGUACGGACUCUGUCUACACGAUUCGAACCCCUGUCAAUAACAAUAAUGGGGAAAGACUCUUUAGUUUUAAUAUUUUUGGGAAAAAGGGGAAACAGGGGGGAGGAGGUGGUCAAGAUGAAGUCAACGAAGUCAAGCAACGUGUGGUUGUUCCAGAUCAUGUUAUCCCUGUUGACGUUCCAGAGCAUGAACAUCCCAAUCAUAAAUAUACAAAAAACAAAAUCCGUACAACCAAAUACACGCUUCUCUGGUUCCUUCCCAAAAAUCUAUUUGAGCAAUUUCAUCGUUUCGCCAACCUCUACUUCCUCUUUAUAGUGCUUUUAAACUGGGUACCUGCCAUUAAUGCUUUUGGGAAGGAGGUUUCCAUGAUCCCUGUCAUUUUUGUCCUUGGGUUCACUGCCAUCAAGGAUUUAUUCGAGGACCGGCGACGCUAUCAAAGUGAUAAGAGGAUUAAUAACUCAACAUGCAGAGUCUAUAAAAGUUCAAUGGGUCGAUACAAAAAGACUUACUGGAAGGAUGUCAAAGUGGGGGACAUUGUUCAUUUGUCAUGCAAUGAACAGAUCCCAGCAGAUAUUCUCCUUCUCCGCUCCUCUGAUGAGUAUGGCCUCUGCUAUAUUGAUACUCAGAAUCUGGAUGGGGAAACUAAUCUUAAGCAAAGAGAGGUUCCUCGUGGAUUCAAGGAACAAAGACUUUCUUUUCAGCCUCAAGAGUUCAGGAGUACAAUUGAAUGUGAUAUGCCCACGACUAAAAUCUAUCGUUUUCAUGGAUCCAUACUCCAUCCCUGGGGUGAGAGAAUCCCUGUGGGAAAGGAUAAUCUUUUACUUCGAGAGUGCAUACUUAAAAACACAGACUAUGUCGAGGGGAUCGUGGUGUAUGCUGGACAUGAGUCGAAAGUGAUGCUCAACAAUGGUGGUCCCCGAUAUAAACGGAGUGAAUUGGAGCGUAAAAUGAAUUUAGAAGUUAUUUGGUGUGUUUUCAUUCUCUUAGUGCUGUGUUUCAUCGGAGCUGUUGGCUCAGGGAUUUGGCUGGAUUAUUUUAAUGAUAACUAUGCCCCCUUUUUAAAUGUUCUCUCACAAGGGGACUCCAAUCCUCCUUUUGAGGGAUUUCUUACAUUUUGGACUUUUGUGAUUAUACUUCAAGUCAUAAUACCCAUGUCACUCUACGUUACGAUUGAAAUGGCUAAACUUUUACAGGUUUAUCUAAUUCACAAGGAUGAAAAAAUGUACGAUAAACUAUGUGGAAAGCGGGUGGAAUGUAGAGCAUUAAACAUUCCUGAGGAGUUGGGAAUGGUUCAAUACAUUUUCUGUGAUAAAACUGGAACCUUGACGGACAACAAAAUGAUAUUUAAAAAUUGUACCAUCAGAGGUGUAGACUUUUCUCAUAACUCCUCUAUGGACAAAAAUGGUACAUCAGGACGUGCUGUGAUCCCUGUGAAUCCUCUUCUUCAUCAAAGGCUUGUUUCACCUUCGCCACCAGAACCAGACUUACUCAUAAAUCAAUCCCCAAAUGUAUCGCCGAAAGAAUGUCACCAAAAUCACAUCGAAGACUUUUUUACCCUGCUUUCAGUUUGUAACACGGUGAUUGUAGCCAAAUAUCCUCAUAGAGAUGCCAUGAAUGUCUCAGGACUCAUUGUGCAUUCCAAUUCCAUGGUCUCUGUGGAUAAUCAUUCUAUGCUUAGUUGCAUUGAUGAAAACGCCGAUGAAAAGUCAAAUGCGGGCUUAUCGACAAGAAGUCCUUCACCACCCCUUAGUUUUAUUUCUACGAGCUCCACUGAACCGUUAAAGCCCAAUUCUUCCUCCAUGGCCAUUCCUAUGACCAAAUUAGGUUCUACUCCAGUGUCUACUCGACCUCCUGUUACUAAAAGUCGUUUGCUACAUCUUCUUCCCAUGUCACCAAAACCCCUGUCUCCUAUAGCAUCCUCACCGGAAACAAGUCCUUUGUCUUCCCCUGUUUCCAGUAGGCGACCGAAGCAUCUACAACUCCCCAGUUUAUUUGCUAAAUUGAAAUCCAGGAGCAACUCCUCGCUCUCUAAAUUACAAAUUGUUUCCACUUCGCCGACACCCACGGAGAUUCGCCCCAUUUAUGAGGCCGAAUCUCCAGACGAAUUAGCCUUAGUGGAUGCUGCAUUUGCUUACAACUGUAAAUUACUCAAAAGAACCUCUAAUUGUGCCAUGAUUUCCCUUCCAAAUGAAGGACUAGUCGAAUUUGAAGUACUUCAUGUUUUACCUUUUGAUUCAAAUCGGAAAAGAAUGUCCGUUGUUUUGCGACACCCCAUUACUUUGCAAAAAAUCCUUUACUGCAAAGGGGCUGACGCUUCCAUGUUACCUCGAGUCAUUGUAGAUAAUGAAGAAGAAAAGGCUGUGCUCUUAAAGACGCAAACUCAAUUGGAUAACUAUGCUAAAAUUGGACUUCGAGUUCUUGUUAUGGCUAAAAAAAUUCUAACGGAGACUGAGUAUGAUGCAUGGGUUAAAGAACAUCUUAAUGCCGAAAACUCAAUGGUCAAAAGGGAAAAACUUUUAGCAGAAUCUUACAAUAGGAUUGAAAAUAGCUUUCAGCUCAUUGGAGCCACUGGGAUUGAGGAUCGACUCCAAGACGGAGUUCCUGAAACCAUUGCCAAGUUACGUCAGGCUGGAAUUGUUGUAUGGGUGCUCACAGGUGAUAAGCAGGAGACUGCAAUCAACAUUGCUUACUCCUGUCAAUUAUUUCCUUCCAAUGUGGAAAUAUUAACUGUGAAUGCUCGGUCCAAAGAUGCUACGGAAACAACAAUUAAAUACCAUCUAGAUGCCAUUAUGAAUGGUGAUACUAAAGCAGAUAGAUCCCUAGUGAUUGAUGGAAAAACUCUCGUCUAUAUAUUAGAUAAGAGAACAAAUCUUCAAAAGCCAUUCCUGGAAUUAACUUCAUACUGUGCUAGUGUGCUCUGUUGUAGAGCAACCCCUUUACAAAAAGCAUUUAUCGUGAGAAUAGUCAAGGAGCAACUUCAUAUGAAAACUCUUGCAAUUGGAGAUGGAGCCAAUGAUGUAUCAAUGAUUCAAACUGCAGAUAUUGGUGUAGGGAUUUCUGGUCAAGAAGGAAUGCAAGCCGUGAUGGCGUCGGACUUUGCUAUCUCUAGAUUUAAGUAUUUAGAGAGACUUCUUCUUGUUCAUGGUCAUUGGAAUUAUGAUAGACUCUCGAGAAUGAUUCAUUAUUUCUUUUAUAAAAAUGCGACAUUUGUGUUUGUAUGCUUUUGGUAUCAAUUAUUUUGUGGAUUCUCGGGUCAGGUCAUGAUUGAUGCCAUGUAUCUCAUGUUAUAUAAUCUUAUUUUUACUUCACUUCCACCUUUAGCAAUCGGAGUAUACGAUCAGGAUGCCCCAGAUUAUAUUUUACAAAAUAUGCCUAGGCUUUAUGAAAGAGGGCGUUUGGGUCAGAUAUAUAAGCCAUAUUCUUUUUGGAUCUCCAUGGCCGAUGCAUUAUAUCAAUCCAUUGUCAUAUUUUUUACUGCAUACGGCUGCUAUAAUGAUACGGAUAUAGGUUUAUGGGAGUUUGGAACAAUUAUUUGUACGAGUUGUUUAUUUGUCAUGACUUUUCAUCUUGCCGUCGAAACUAAUUCUUGGACAAUCAUUCAUUGGAUAUCAUUGAUCGUUUCCAUUUUUUCAUAUUUCGUUUUUGCCUUACUCUAUUCGGGAGUAUGUGUGAACUGUUUUGGGCUUCAAGUACCUUAUUGGGUGAUGCAGCAUGCUAUGGGAACAAUUCAGUUCUGGUUUAUUUUAAUUUAUACAUCCGUUGUAGCUGUUUUCCCUAGGACGUGUAUCAAAGCCCUCAUUAACACAUGCCGUCCCAAUUCAGUCACUGAAGUUUUACUCUCAAGACAAUCGAACGAAGAGAACAAAGAGGAGGACUCUCUCUUUUCAGCCUCAUCCGUUUUAAGGAUCAUGGAUGAUGAUCAGGACAUACGAUUAACCUCUUACCGAGAAUUAUACAAGAAUCGAGUGGCUCCUCUAAUUUGUCCGGCUCAUGAUAAUCCAGCCUAUUUAGACUCUCAAGAAUAAUGAACUCUUUUCCCAUUGAUUAAAAGUACAAUUUUGAAACCUGAAUAGUUUUAAUUUUUCCCUUUUUUGUAACUUGUAUCGAACUUUCUUAGAGGUCAAUGUGGAUCAUCGACUGAAAUGACAGAGGUCCUCUCCUGAUACAACUAUUACCACCAUCUUUAUCAUCUCCCCGUUUUGCAACUAUUUCCAACAAGAAUACAUACUUUUUUUAACGUGCUUUUAUUUUUGUGCUUUUUGAAGAGAAAGACAUGGGCUAUUAUAUUUCUAUCAUCCAUAUUUCUAACAUCACUGUCUUAUACAAUUCAAUUAUAGAAUGUUACUAUUUUUUUGUUAUUGAGUCCGUGUUUUUGGAUCACUUCAUGUUUAGGAAAUUUGACUGCGACAUUAUAAUACAUAUUUACAAUCUGAAUAUAUUUUAUACUUCUACUUAUGAAAGAAACAAUAAAAAAAAAUAUUAGCCAA